GCGCGAUAUCCUGCCAAUUGCUACUUAUUCUGCAACGAACAUUAAUAUUAGUAUCGAUUAAAAUUACUAGCACUGUUUAGUAGUGCAAUUAUUAGAUGUUGCGAUCGUGUUACCUCCUCAAACGGACGAAACUGUUAUUACGGUUGGAAGAUCGGGAAUGCAGAUUUGCUCUUGGAAAGAAAUUUCAAACAUUGUGUUGAUAGCAAAUGAGAAGAGAACAAGGCACAGGGGGCAGCACAGGUUAAAGAAUAGAUAAAUUGGCAUCGGUUAAGGAUUAUAAUUGGCCAUAGCCCAAGGGAACCAUAAAUUAUAUUCAGGAGUUAUCUUAACCUCUUAACUUUCUGUUAACUCUUUAUAACACCGAGCCACAUUCAUAACACAGAUCACGUGUCCAAUCGAAUAAGCAAAAUUUAGUUUCCAUUUUUCAGUGAGAUCGCAGAAAAUUCUUCAGAGAUUUAAGUCCAUACUCCUCGAUCAUAAAAUGCCUUACAAUUAUCCAUAGAAUAAAAAUUUCUCUCGUCAAUAAUGUCCGGCGUGGUCAUGGUUCCCAGCGAAAGUUGCUAGUAGAAGAACGACGAAUUAUUAUAUCCCUCGGGUGGCGCAACGUCAGUCGACCAAGUGCACUUAAGCUCGAACAUGAAUGUAAUUCUCGCACGCUCGCGCGAGCCUGUCGUCACACAUGCGAAACACGUAUACACGAGGUAAAACACAGGGAAACAGCAGCGUGGCCGCGGUUUCGAAGCAUGCAUGCCAGUCAGGCUUCGUUCAAAGGCCCCCGAUUAAAUCUCACCUGGCUUAAUAUUAUUAUUUUACGUGGCGCCUGCGAGUGAAAACGAGCGACCCGACGAGAGGGCGAGGAAAUUAGAGAGAGUGCGAGGGGCGGGCAGGGAAGGUUGGAUAAUGCCAGUGGAUAAAAGCAAAUGGAACAGUGCAGGAAACACUGGCCGAAUAUCGUUCACGUGAACGAUCUUUGUACCGUCUAUGCAACCGUAAUUCCAGUUAUUUAGCCUCUCCUCCGACCUCCCCGGUUAUUCGUGAGUAGAAACGUUGUUCUGACUAGGUGUUUCCAGGUCUAUUACUAUUCAAAAUUAUCCAAGAACUGUUCAAAAAGAUGUUUCCGUCAUUAAGGUGUCGUUCGAUUGCUGUUUGCAAUUUAUUCAAUUGGCAACUAAGUAAUUGCGGAUUUUGUCAAUGCCAUCUAAUGGCAAAAUCCGCAACCACUUGCCAACCCAAUAUUAUAUUUUUCUAAGGUCGGUGGAAGAAUGUGUAGAGUAAGGAUGUAGGAAUUAAAUGAAGCUUUUAUAGAAUAUAGAGAUGUUGCAUGGUUUUAACCCGUUCACUGUGAAUCAGAUUUUUGUUACAUAUAAAUUGCCUUGUUAACAAAUAGUUCUGCGCCACACCUGUAUCUAUCCAGUUAAUCUUUAUAUGUACAUAAAUUAUAAUCAUUCGAACAUCUAUUACAUCUAUCACACUAUGUAUACAGUGGUUCACGUGGAAGUAUUGUUAUAUGUAUAUAUAAUGUAUUAUAUUAUACAUGUUACACGAAACAUUUUGAAAUAUCACGAGUAAAAAUAUGAUUAUUAUGAUUGUAUUGGUUACACAAAAAGUUUAGUUUCUUAAAGUUAAAUAUUCAUUGCUUAUUCAAGUGCUAGGAAUAAUUAUGUGCGUUAUUGUAUAUCCGAUAGAAAUGGACAUUCGGUUUGUAUCACGCAUCUAAGUUGCUAUCAUACACGUAUCCUGAAAGUACGUGUCGACUGGUCAUGUAUAGUGAAUGUGUUAAUUACAAGCUUUAAUCGGUUCGUUUCAUUAUAUGCACGUUGAUAAUUCGUUCUGAAAGGAGGGGGAAAAAGAAGAAAAUCGAGUCGAAAAUAAAACAGCAGAGGUAAAACGAAUCGAGAUCGAGUCUUGCGAAAACAUUAAGAUCAACCUGGUCUAGAGUUCCUACUCUCGAUCCGGUUCUUCGAGGAUGCGUUUAUUAAUCGGAGAAUUGCGAUUCUGCGUGUCGAUAGGGAAAAUAUUGCUAUGUAAUAUGUAGCUAUAUAAUAUAUCAAUUGUUAAAUAAUUA